UGUGUGUGCCACCGGGACACGCGUGUGCCACUGGGAUACGUGUGUGCCACCCAGACAGGUGUGUGCCACUGGGAUGCGUGUGUGUGCCACCAGGAUACACGUGUGUGCCACUGGGAUGCGUGUGUGCCACCAGGACACGUGUGCCACCAGGACACGCGUGUGCCACUGGGAUACGUGUGUGCCACCAGGACACGCGUGUGCCACUGGGAUACGUGUGUGCCACCCAGACACGUGUGUGCCACCAGGACACGCGUGUGUGCCACCAGGACACGCGUGUGCCACUGGGAUACGUGUGUGCCACCCAGACAGGUGUGUGCCACCAGGACACGCGUGUGCCACUGGGAUACGUGUGUGCCACCCAGACACGUGUGUGCCACCAGGACACGCGUGUGUGCCACCGGGAUGCGUGUGUGCCACCCGGACAUGUCUGUGCCACAGGGGUACGCGUGCACACCACUCAGACAUGUAUGUGGCACUGGGACACGUGUGUGUGCCACCCAAACAUGCGUGUGUGCCACUGGGAUACAGGUGUGCCACCAGGACACGGAUGUGCCACCCGGACAUGCGUGUGUGCCACCGGGACACGUGUGUGCCACCGGGACAUGUGCGUGCCACCGGGACACGGGUGCCACCCCCCCACGCAUGUCCCACCGGGACACGUGUGUGCCAUGGGGACACGUGUGCCACCUCCCCACCCGUGCGCACUCCCCCCACCUCGUACCCACCCUCUGGGCCCCAGCCCCCGGGGUCCCCCCCAGCCCUGCCCCCCCCCCCUC